rnacentral:misc_RNA from 1 species
UUAUCAGGAUGCUCAGGUUCACCACUGAUGACCAAUCGUCCUGCUGGAUCUGAUUGAACUCGGACCUCCUCACGAAGAAGCCCUGGUACUAAAGCAUAUACCUCAAAGCAAUCUUUUGUUCUCUGCACAUUGAUCUUCACCCAGUCAGCUGGAGGUCCAAGGUCAACUACCUCUACAUCCAAUUGUGGUUUGGAUGUUUUGGUGCGUGCAGCUUUGAUGGCAUGUUCCAUGUAUGAAGGUUUCUUGCGUUUAAGUAAACCAAGGCUUUUAAGCUGUUUUUCACGCUUUUGCAAAGAGAGAGAAUUCUUAUCCUUAAUGAUAGGGUCACUAACUUCUCCAUUACCAAGAAGACG